rnacentral:misc_RNA from 1 species
CCCACCUCAGCGUAGUCUCACAGGCUCCACUGCACACGCACACCACCCAUUCUGUGUGUGUGGGGGGGUGAGAAGCCGAAGCAGCCCUCCCCCUCCUCGUUUUUUUUCCAGCCCUGCCCAUGCCGAACCACUUCGGGUGGUGACGGGGGUUCCCGUGCCCACGACGCAGAGAGGCCAGAGCGACCUGCGACAGCGCACACGCUUGCGCCAUCCAUGUGAUGGGCGAAGCUUCCGCGUGACUCGAACGCAUCCCGCCCGACGCUCACUGCCUACUGGUGUGUGUGUGUGGGGUGGGUGGGUGGGGGCCUGGGACACCCCCGAGGGACGCAGCAGGUGGCGACCGGCAGAGAGGGUCUGCGUAGAGUGUGAGGCGGCGGCCGUGCUCAGCUGACUGAGUCGGCGCACUGCUGUGCCGGCGUGUGUCUGCUGCUGCCUCUGCGCACGGCGCGGAUGUGUGGGGCGGGGGUGCAGUGUGGCGUGUGGCCGGUGCUGUAUGGCCGAGAACGAAUGCACGCGCGUUGGCGCUCCAACGCGUCCACUCCGCCCACGAACGUGCCAACCAAUAGACGCAUACACACAACCACAGCUCACCUGCCUCUGCUGCACUGCGGCUGAAUCUCCUGGCCGCCCAGGACGAGCCGUCUGCCGCCAAAUCGAGGUCAUGUGCCUCGCGGGCACGCCUCGAUCCGAGUGGGCCGCCUUCAGGGCCCUGCUCCAGGGGGGAGGGGGCGGAAGCGGUGGCGUCUGUCGCGCGGGCAAUAGCGGGUGGUCCGGGCGCAUGCCGGAUGAGUUCAAGGGGGAAGCUGGCCAGGCGCCGGUAAGGGCCCUCUGAGCCCCUGCGCCCUGCCUGCAUGCCACGCCUCCGCCCUCAGUCGCCCCAAGCCGCGGCACCCCAUAAUAUGGCGCGGCGGCUCGCCACACGGGAAUCUGGAGGACUCGCUGGCGCCAUUCGGCAUGCUCUCGUCACGCUUCCGGCGCCUGUGCCUCAUCAGCCCACCCGGUCGGACGUGGGAGAUGCCGCGUAUUUCGCUCACAUGCACCUUUGGGCUGAUUGGUGUGGAUCUCUUCGCGUCUUUUCCGUCCAUCAUUCGUGCUCCUCUCACCUCUCGAUGCCUUGUCUGGGCGUGAGGCACCAUGCAAGCUGUGCUUGGCAGCGCGCGCGCGGUGCUCGCAUUUUGCGCCUCACGCGGCCAGCUUCAGGACGGCGCUGUUGUCUGGGGGUGCGGAGGACGCCGUCUCCAUCUUCCACGUCCGCCGAGGUCAUGAGGGGCGUGCGCCUGGAUGGCUUCCCCGCAUGUGCCUCGGCAGGUUGGACGCUGCCAUGAGUCUGUGGCGGCGUGGGGUACUCCUCCCUCUCUUGCAUCUGCACGUCUUUGACAGCAGUGGGCGCAAGCGUCAUGAUGGCGACUGGUGGAUUUCUGCGGCACAGCUCGAGCACAGCCCUUGUCCGUAAGCACGAAGGGUGGGCGCUGGGCCCGGUGAUAGCACGGUGGGGUGGCCCAGCAUUGUUGCGGGCGCAGAAUGAGCAUGCAGAUUAAAAAAGAAGUCAGAAUAGUUAUGAAUACCCAUCACUCGCUCCUUCUCUGUGUGUGUGUCUUUGUGUGUACAGCCCCGACUUUCGGUUUCUAGUAUUGCCCUGUUCCCGUUCGUCUUGGUGCUUGCCUACGUAGGUGAAACUACUCUUGCCCAUAUCCUGCCCCCGUCCACAUAAAGAACACAUGCACACAAAGGAUGGCAUUCACCAAGCUUUCUUUCCCGUGUGUCGUUUCACCCAACGGUUCUCUUUGUGGUGCCCUGUUUUUUUUUUUAUGUUGAUGGCUCAGCGGGUUUCGUCUGCGCGUGUAUGCGCGCGAAUCAACCGCCGCUGCUGCUCUCGUGCAUGUGCAGGCAACGGAUGUUUUGAAAGUCGUGUGCGCGCUGUGAGCCGUAACGUGGGUCUCGACGUGUUGUCUCGUAAUACGCGCGCUUUCUCUAUCCGUGUCGCAGAGACCCCUUCUUCGUUUUGGUUUGUGCUUGCGUGUUCCCCGAAGUGAAGCGAGGGGGUCUAAUGUUGGUGUGGUUGCCUAUGCGGGGACGUGCUUCCGUGAAGCUAUUCUUCUGUGCUAUUCGUCAUGAGUAGAAGCCUACAGCCACACACGGACGCAGACAUCUUACCUCAUCUCGCACCUUCGCACACACUGACAGAGCUGCUUGGAGACCCUCUCUUUUUCUCCCCUUUCUGCCGGUCUGUAUAUAGUCUAUUGUUGCGCGCAUCCCUGCACCCUCUGCCCUCCGAUCUCCGUCCAACCAUACACACACACAUGCGCGCCCCUUCCUCGAACUCAGCGAAAUCCUUUCUCUUUUCCCUUGUGUUGUUCCGUUGUCUCUACGGUCGAGCAUGCCCUCGGUGUGCAUUUCCGCCCUCCUCUCUCUCUCUCCGUCGCGUUUCGCUGCCUGCGGUCGAGGAUGGAUCGGGAUGGAGAGACGCGAUACGAAAAGCGUCACAUCGGCGGUGAUGCUCGUAUUGUUGUGUGCUUGGUCGCGCUGUGUAUGUGCCUUGUACACAUUGGCGGCAUUCUUUUUUUUUUUCUGCUUUUUUUUUCGUAAACGAGUGCGUCGGCGCCUUUCCCUCGCGUCAUCUCUUUUCUUUUUUCUUCUUCGCUGCCGUUGAUUGGCUCAGCCUGCGUCUGAUGACGUCGUCGUCUCUCUCUGUCUGUCUGUCGGUACGUGUCUGUGUGCGUGUGUCUGAUCCUUAGUCUUGCGGAGGCGAUUUGGCGUGCCGCAAAGAGGGGGCGCCGCGCCCGUCCUCGCGACUCCUCUUGAACGGGAUAACUUUGCUGUGGCUGCGUCGGCACUUCCGCCUCCCUCCUUGCCUCGCUCUGUGCAUCGGCCUCCACGCCCCAGCUUCAUGUUUGCUGGUUGUUGCGCACGACUCAUCGAGCCACAACACAAAAUGGAAAGCACAAAGAAAAAAAUCGCGGAAAGUGACGUUGGCAAUGCGGUCACCGCGUGAAAGCGCGAACGGCGUCACGUGCACCCCGCUCUCUCUCCUCGCCCUUCC